GGCCUCGUGGUCUAAUGGUUACGACACUAGCAUUCUCUGCGACGUGAAAUCCAGUAAGCUAGAGAUUGGGGGUUCGAGUCCCGCCGGGGCAG